UACUGAAUCUAUGCUUGGUACUUGAUUGCUAUUAUGUAUUAGUCACACCGAUGCUUAUUAUGUUAUGUUGCUUUCAUCAGAUGGCAAUUCUUAGGGCAACUGUAGCAUGCAAAUUCUUUCCAGUCUACAUGGGAAGUGCUUUCAAGAACAAGAUAUAUUGAACCUCUACCAUUGGGUUCUCUUACGAAGUUUGAAGUUGAGAAUCUUAUCAUUGGGCAAGCAAUACCUUCAAACUUCAUUCCAGCAAUUGAGAAAGGGUUCAGAGAAGCUAGCAACUCGUGGUAUUGACAGAUGGGGCAUCACAAGCUGUUGAUUCCAGUGAGCUGGCAUUUAAGCUAGCAGCUAUAUAUGCAUUUAGACAGCCGAGCCUGUCAUAUUGGAACCCGUGAUGAAAGUGACAUUGAAAGUGCCAUCAGAAUUCCAGGGCGUUAUUACUGGUGAUAUUAACAAGAGGAAAGGUACGAUUGUUGGAAACGACCAGGAUGGUGAUGGUACUGUGGUUGUCGCUCAUGUAUGUAGAUUCCAAUCUUCUCCUUUGAACGAUCUGCUAACAUGUAGAAAUUGCAUAUUGAUGCGACCUGGCCAGUAACUGUGGUUGUCGCCCAUGUAUGUACAUUCCAAUCUUCUCCUCUGAAUGAUCUGCUAACAUGUAGAAAUUGCAUA